AGUAACGUGUGGUGGCUCCUUCCUCCUCAUCUGAGUCUCCAGGACCGACCACCUACUGGACUGAACGAUCAUGACGGGCUUAAAGAAACACAACCAACCACUUGUUUCCUUCUGUGUGUGUGUUAACUAUUGGUGUUGAUGUCCACAUAUGAGGUCUGAGGACAUUAGACAGUGAAAAGGACACGUAUAGUUAAUUGAGGACACGGCGCGACUCGUCUGGAUGAAGGACACGAAGCGGACAUCAAAUUGGUCCCUCAAGUAAUUUUUUUUCACAGGGGGUGCUGUGGCUGAGUGGCUACAGCGCUCACUUAACCUAUUCCAAGGUCUCUGGUUCGAUCCCAAUGCACUCAAACGAUACCCGCUGGAGUGCCAACCU